GGCUGUAAGCUAGGUAAUGAAAUGGAGAUUGGACACUGUGCUUGGCAAGGCAUUUUACAGCAAACCUCAUUCUGAAAUCCCUGCGGCCACUACAGCAACCUGCCUGUGCCUCCUGUCAUGGAAUCUGAAUGGUUUGCAGGGCUAACUAAUAAAUACUUACAACCCCCUACACUCUGCACACAGGCUUUAUACCCAACACCAGAAGUAAUUUCUUGCCUACCUAGUAGAGGGAAGUUCUUGUUCCUAUUUCUCUUGUGCUUGGUGAUGACUGCUGAUGAGACAAAGCUAAAUUCUAGCAGAUGUAAGUCCUAGCUCUGAAAAUUUUAGUUCUAUUAGAAUCAUCAAAAAAGACCAUGUGUAGCUGAGCAGCAUGGAUGCCUGCAAUACAUAUUCUGAAAUCUGUUCAAACGUUUGCAUCACACAGGUCCGUAGUGCUUCAGUCUUCAUACUUGCUGGUUUCACCAGUUUUACCAAAACCAUGUGUAAUGUGGGGUGGAUAAGGAGCUUGCUACGGUUUGUUGAACAGCAAGGUACUGAAAAAUCAAUAUAAAGAUUGUUAAAGUGCAAGCCUUAAGGUGUCUUAGUACAUGUCUGAAGAACCUUGAGUAGUUUGAAGGGAGGUUUCAAGCAGCUGCAGAUUGGCAUGGUUACUGCUGAUGUCACAGUCCCAACAUGACCUUUCAAUACCCUAGGCUGAUUCUGUGCAAUUGUUUUGUCAUCUGGAAAGCAUCCCUAGUUGUCGGCUUGGUCCAGCUUCAGUGUGAGUCCUUCUCUCCCUGUGAGAGCUGCCCUCUCCCUGCCUGGCCCUGCUGCCUUCCGAGCUGUGGGCUUGUAUCCUCUGUUGCUAUUGGCUGGUGUUCUGUAAUACUUCUGAAGGGGGUGAAGCAAUCAAGUGUUUGGACUGUUACUGGUAAGUUGAGGCUUUCUUUUCAGUGGCAAUCCAAAGAAACAGUUUUGACCUGGAUACUCGGGUCUGGUAUACAAAUUAUUUCACUGAAAAGGACUAAACCCACUGCCACUGUUCUCUAUCAGCAGGAGAGUGCUUGCAGUGGAAAGCUGCGAUUUUUAAUGUGGCUGGGGAGAAAUGGCAGCUUGUGAGGUGUUGGGUCAGGUCAAGCAGAGAUUUAGUCUUCUACAGAUGCCAACAGGUUUUAUAUGUAAGACUCAGAGGGUAUGGAGUACCAUUUCCAGGUUGAGGUAUUACCAGAGGAAGGAGGAAAGGUAUUUGGGAGAUUGGGCUGUAGCAGGUUGGUAGGACUUUUUUUCCUGCAUCCUCCUGAUGAAAGAGUAGUAAGUGGUCUUGAGUUUUGUUGUAAGUUGUCCAAAAAUACAGAAUGAUCUGUUUUCUCUCCUCUUCACUGUUCAUUUUUUAAUCCUUGUGUCAAACCCCUUCCAUUUGCUUUCACUUCCCUUUGGUUCCACCAGUCUGCAGCUCAGAGCUGCAGACGUAGCCUGUUUCAAGGCCUGUGUGGUGCAAGUGCCUUUACUAUAGCAAACCCCUUCCACUCCUUCUCCCAGCAGUGCAGUCAGCAGCCAUGUGGGAAGGUGCUAUGGCAUCAAAGGAGCCUGCUGCCUGCUCCUUGGUGGACCGAACCACCUGGGAGCUGUUCAACCUGGUGGACUUAAUGGGGAAGCGGAAUGGACAGGUGAUGGUGAUGGAGGUGCGUGAUAACACUGUGAGAACUCCCUCCGUGCUGAUGGAUUUUGCCCAGGACCUGUGUGGCACAGUUGACAUUAGGGCUAAACUACAGCAGCCACAGAAGGUGGAGGAGAAGCAAGAGCUGGAAGCUGAGGAGGAGGAGGAAGAAGAGGAGGACGAUGCUCAAGCACAUCUGAUUUUUAUGCUGUGGUCACCUGCUCUGCUGAAAGAGCUCACGCAAUGGGAUUACCUGGACGACGCCCUCUGGAAUUUGAGGAACCUCCUCCCCUGCUUGCCGGAUGUGCUGGUGCUUGUGAUGGUCCGUCCAGGCCCCCAGGAGCAGCUGGACCAGGCAAUGAGAGCUCUUAGGAGAAUGCAGUGCCUGCUGGAUGGGGCAUGGGACCUGGUGGUGGAGACAGCAGUCUACAGCCCAGGCCAGCCUGAUGAUAUCCUGGAGACAAAGAGAGCUGCAUGUAGAGCACUGAGAGAAGUCUUAAACUGCCAUGAAGAAGUUGACUCUCAGCGACCGUUCGUUGUUACGCUCACGGACUUCAGUUUCUGCUGUAUUCUGCCUGAGCAUCUGCAACACACAGCGUCAAAGACAGAUGCAGAAUGAAUCCCUUUGGACAGCAGAAUUUGGCAGAUCUUGUGUCCACCAAAGACCUUAAUCAUCACCUAAAGAAGCAUUAAAAGCCUGAUACUCAUUUAAUUUCUCUGUGUGUCUGUGUGUAGCUGUAAGCUUUAAAGCUGUACAUCAAAGACUGAGUCCCCUGGUGAAGCUGCAGGUACUUGCAGUAUUGUAUGGAAGGGAUGGGAUUUGAGGGUAGUAGAGAGCCUCUGAACCAACAGUUCUCAGGCCAAGGAUCCUCCAGGUUAAUUUUUGCAGAUGCCAUUUUGAUUGGUGAAUCUCUGUGGCCAAAAGAGCCUUUGAGCUCGGGCAAAUAAUGUAAAUGGAGCUAAGCUGCAAGCAGUUGUGCUGCUUCUACCUUGUUCCUUGUGCCUUGCUGCUGCUCUUGGACACCGUGUUCUACUCUGCCUUAUGCUUCACACCAGCUUAGUAUUUAUGUUUUGGGCUUGAACUACCUGAAAAGUUAAGUGCCUCAAGUUUACCAGGAGAAGGCAUUAAGUGCCUCACGAUGUGGUGAGAAGGGCUACUGACAUUGUGUUCUCUUCACAUCUGCAAGAGAUGCUGCCUGCACCUCUGCAAACCUCCAUGCCAAGAGGAACCAGGAUCAAGUCAGAGAUUGUCUGCCUCUUUCCCAGCACCCUGCUAGAGCCUGGGAAGAUCUAGAAGCCUCUUAACAGUUACCAAGUUGCCGAACAGUUCCAACACUGCUACAAAGGAGCCAGGGACUAUCUUGAAAUUCCUACUCCACCACUGGCUCAACAGCGUCAAACUAGGCAAAUCCUAACCUACCUGCUCUGCCCAUUGGAGCAACUACGGCUUGAGAAGUUACUUCCUCUGCUAAUCUUUGGGCUACCCACGAAGACCUCCAUGAAUAAAGAGCUUAGCAAGUGCUGGUGUCCCACAGCAGUGCUCCUGGUGGCAUCUGGCAGUUCUGGGUGAGUAAAACAGAUAUCUUCCAGCAUCUCAUGAUGAAAUUUCUCCAAAGCAGUAAGUGGAAGCAGAUUUAGAGAACAAGUCUGUGAAAGAGCACUUGUGCAAAGGUUUGCUAAGGCUUAGCCUGUCAGCAGUGAAUUCCUAUUCCUCCCUUUUCCAAAUGCCUCCAUGAGCACCAAGGCUGCUGAGAAAAACAGUGUAAAGAGCUGGACUGGGUCACUGA